rnacentral:rRNA from 1 species
AAUUAGGGUUCGAUUCCGGAGAGGGAGCCUGAGAAACGGCUACCACAUCCAAGGAAGGCAGCAGGCGCGCAAAUUACCCAAUCCCGAUACGGGGAGGUAGUGACAAUAAAUAACAAUACAGGGCUCUUAUGGGUCUUGUAAUUGGAAUGAGUACAAUUUAAAUCCCUUAACGAGGAUCAAUUGGAGGGCAAGUCUGGUGCCAGCAGCCGCGGUAAUUCCAGCUCCAAUAGCGUAUAUUAAAGUUGUUGCAGUUAAAAAGCUCGUAGUUGAAUUUCGGGGUUCUACCAUUGGUCGGGCAAUUGUCUGUACUGGUGUGUAGAAUUUCUACCUUCUGGGGAACCAUCAUGUUAUUAAUUUAGCGUGGUGGGAAACCAGGACCUUUACCUUGAAAAAAUUAGAGUGUUCAAAGCAGGCUUACGUCUGAAUACAUUAGCAUGGAAUAAUAAAAUAGGACGGUGGUCCUGUUUUGUUGGUUUCUGAAUCACCGUAAUGAUUAAUAGGGAUAGUUGGGGGCAUUAGUAUUCAAUUGUCAGAGGUGAAAUUCUUGGAUUUAUUGAAGACUAACUUCUGCGAAAGCAUUUGCCAAGGAUGUUUUCAUUAAUCAAGAACGAAAGUUAGGGGAUCGAAGACGAUCAGAUACCGUCGUAGUCUUAACCAUAAACUAUGCCGACUAGGGAUCGGACGAUGUUA